rnacentral:lncRNA from 10 species
AAAUGCUUUAUUUAAAAUACAUAACAAUCGUGCAGCUGCUGAGGAUGUUAUGAGGGGAAGAGAGAAAGGGGCUAUUUGCUCUUUUAUGGAUACGUGCUUGGCAUGGUUUGAAGGAUGAAAGAUAAGGUGGUUUAAGGACAGACAUAAUCCCUUUGUGAUGCUAUUUAGCAGUUAGCAAAGACUGCUAUCCCUCUAACACAGAAUGCUCUCACACCUCUGGGUACCACUUGUGCCUCGAUCGCCUACUCAACAGGAAUAAAGUUUGGCGAUGAACAGUAGAGACCCAACAUAACAGGAACUUUAACAAGAUGGAAGUUUCUCUUUUACAAAAAAAAAAAAAAAAAAA